UCGGGCGGGUGCGCAGAACAACAGGGAUUGCCCUAGUAACGGCGAGUGAAGCGGCAACAGCUCAAAUUUGAAAUCUGGCUCUUUCAGAGUCCGAGUUGUAAUUUGCAGAGGGCGCUUUGGCUUUGGCAGCGGUCCAAGUUCCUUGGAACAGGACGUCACAGAGGGUGAGAAUCCCGUACGUGGUCGCUAGCUAUUGCCGUGUAAAGCCCCUUCGACGAGUCGAGUUGUUUGGGAAUGCAGCUCUAAAUGGGAGGUAAAUUUCUUCUAAAGCUAAAUAUUGGCCAGAGACCGAUAGCGCACAAGUAGAGUGAUCGAAAGAUGAAAAGCACUUUGGAAAGAGAGUCAAACAGCACGUGAAAUUGUUGAAAGGGAAGCGCUUGCAGCCAGACUUGCUUGCAGUUGCUCAUCCGGGCUUUUGCCCGGUGCACUCUUCUGUAGGCAGGCCAGCAUCAGUUUGGGCGGUGGGAUAAAGGUCUCUGUCACGUACCUCUCUUCGGGGAGGCCUUAUAGGGGAGACGACAUACCACCAGCCUAGACUGAGGUCCGCGCAUCUGCUAGGAUGCUGGCGUAAUGGCUGUAAGCGGCCCGUCUUGAAACACGGACCAAGGAGUCUAACAUCUAUGCGAGUGUUUGGGUGUCAAGCCCGAGCGCGUAAUGAAAGUGAACGGAGGUGGGAACCCGCAAGGGUGCACCAUCGACCGAUCCUGAAGUUUACGGAAGGAUUUGAGUAAGAGCAUGGCUGUUGGGACCCGAAAGAUGGUGAACUAUGCUUGAAUAGGGUGAAGCCAGAGGAAACUCUGGUGGAGGCUCGCAGCGGUUCUGACGUGCAAAUCGAUCGUCAAAUUUGGGCAUAGGGGCGAAAGACUAAUCGAACUAUCUAGUAGCUGGUUCCUGCCGAAGUUUCCCCUCAGGAAA
rnacentral:rRNA from 1 species